rnacentral:rRNA from 1 species
UACGUAGGGUGCAAGCGUUGUCCGGAAUUAUUGGGCGUAAAGAGCUCGUAGGCGGUUUGUCGCGUCUGCUGUGAAAAUCCAGGGCUUAACCCUGGACCUGCAGUGGGUACGGGCAGACUGGAGUGCGGUAGGGGAGAUCGGAAUUCCUGGUGUAGCGGUGAAAUGCGCAGAUAUCAGGAGGAACAUCAGUAGCGAAGGCGGCUUUCUGGGUCACACCUGACGCUGAGGAGCGAAAGCGUGGGGAGCGAACAGG